rnacentral:rRNA from 1 species
GGGUGGUAAUGCCGGAUGCUCCGCCCCACCGCAUGGUGGGGUGGGAAAUGCUUUUUGCGGCAUGGGAUGGGGUCGCGUCCUAUCAGCUUGUUGGCGGGGUGAUGGCCCACCAAGGCGUUGACGGGUAGCCGGCCUGAGAGGGUGACCGGCCACAUUGGGACUGAGAUACGGCCCAGACUCCUACGGGAGGCAGCAGUGGGGAAUAUUGCACAAUGGGCGCAAGCCUGAUGCAGCGACGCCGCGUGCGGGAUGGAGGCCUUCGGGUUGUAAACCGCUUUUGUUCAAGGGCAAGGCACGGCUUCGGGCCGUGUUGAGUGGAUUGUUCGAAUAAGCACCGGCUAACUACGUGCCAGCAGCCGCGGUAAUACGUAGGGUGCGAGCGUUAUCCGGAUUUAUUGGGCGUAAAGGGCUCGUAGGCGGUUCGUCGCGUCCGGUGUGAAAGUCCAUCGCCUAACGGUGGAUCUGCGCCGGGUACGGGCGGGCUGGAGUGCGGUAGGGGAGACUGGAAUUCCCGGUGUAACGGUGG